UCCUAUUCCUCUCAACCGGCAAUGAGAAGGAAGGAAAGAGCCAUGGUGAAGCGUGCAUGCACAUCGCACAACGACCAUAGAGGUUAUUCCCGAAUAUGCUUCUUUCAUUUAUCUGCAAUUCAUCACAUCAUCUUGGCGCUCCAAUUUCUUUACUACGAGUAUGAUGAAAUGUCAUGUUGACUUCCACUGAAAAUGCGACAUCUUUCGAGAUGAAGGACCACACUUCUCGGAUGCAUAUCACUGUUUCAAGAAUAUUAGUCAUCUGCAAAUGGAUAACUUGGCUUAUCACUUCUCAUGCUUUAAAACAUGCACACAUCAGCUCAGAGCUACUCGCGCACACGUUGGCUUUCAUAUUGUAACCAUUCGAAAAAGAUAUAAAGCUCGUUGUGAGUAGACCAUUACUUAAGCAGAUGAUCAUACAUUUCAUAGGCUCCAAUCGUGCCAGAAUUUCAGGGGGAUGCAUUCACAAUACCAACACAGAUGCAUGUAGUCAAGAAGCAAGAAUGAUUAUUAUUGUCAUUAAUCACAUGGAAAUGAAUAGGUUUCACUCACAUUAUUAUUUUAGUACGUAUAAAAAGGGUAGGUUAAUCAUAAGCGGUAUAUUAAAGUUUAGUACAUGCCAUUGUUCUCAUACUAUAUUGUGUACCUAACUA